GUUUUUUGUAGCAUUUUAUGUGAGAUUAAAUGGGAAGCCCCUUCCUGAGAGGGGACUGAAUUGUUCCCCUUAUCUCAGGUUUCACUGCCCCAGGAGCCCUGGGCUCUACAUGUGGAGGAAGGACAACACUGUCAUCACUCCAUCUAGCAGCUCUAGAAUUGUGGUGGAGAAGGGUGGGUCCCUCCUCAUCAGCCAGACGUAGUCAGGUGAUAUCAGAGACGACACCUGUGAAAUCAUAUCUGAGGGAGGGAAUGAUUCCAGGACAGCCCGGCUUGAACUGAUGUGAGUACUGGAUGUUGGUGUUAACCACCCUCAGGUCUGCACUGCUGUCU
rnacentral:lncRNA from 1 species